UGGGGAAUAUUGCACAAUGGAGGAAACUCUGAUGCAGCGACGCCGCGUGAAUGAUGAAGGCCUUCGGGUCGUAAAAUUCUGUCCUUGGGGAAGAUAAUGACGGUACCCAAGGAGGAAGCCCCGGCUAACUACGUGCCAGCAGCCGCGGUAAUACGUAGGGGGCGAGCGUUGUCCGGAAUUAUUGGGCGUAAAGGGUUCGCAGGCGGUCUGAUAAGUCAGAUGUGAAAGGCUAUGGCUUAACCAUAGUAAGCAUUUGAAACUGUCAGACUUGAGUUAAGGAGAGGAAAGUGGAAUUCCUAGUGUAGCGGUGAAAUGCGUAGAUAUUAGGAGGAAUACCAGUGGCGAAGGCGACUUUCUGGACUUAUACUGACGCUGAGGAACGAAAGCGUGGGGAGCAAACAGG
rnacentral:rRNA from 2 species